UGCCACUUACAGGCAGAAUGUUGGAUCCAUUUAAAUAAUAUUAUAAGACCUUUAUGUACCACAUUUAUGCAAUAAAUCAUUAUCAUUACAUAUUGUGUUGCAAAAGCAUGUAAAAGUCAUACCAAACUGAUGUGGUCUUAAUUAUGAUGGCCAUCAUCAUUAAAAUCUGAAUUACUAGCUUAUUUUAUACCCUACCAAAGCCGAUGUGUGCACAGAACCAACUGGCAUGCUUGACUCUGGAUAGGAACAUUAGCACAUUCCGUGUAAGAUAUGCUUUUGAUAUAGCUGUAUAUCCAAGGGUUGAAUGUUACAUGUUAUUUUGAAAUAAAAGUAAGAAUUAUUUAUGUUAUAAAAAAUUAUUUACAUGAAUUUUUGCUUUUAGGAACUUUAAAAAGUUGAUGGCAACAUUGAAAGAAUAUAUAAGAGCAAAAGAUUCCAUAUCUGACGUGAAACAUUGCACAACGCGACAGUUUACAAAAAUUGCAAUUAUUCUUGCAUACUGUCAGUAUGAUUGGUACCAUAAUAAUUACAGUAACAUUGUGUAUUUUCUAUACAAAAACAUUAAAAGGGCUCAAAUGAAAAGAUACUUCAAUGUUUAAUAUUUUAUUACAUGUCAAAAUGCCCAAAUCACUGCUCACGCAACACUAAUAACUGAAAGGCAUCAUCGAUAAGAGCAGACCGGAGAAGUGACUAGAAAUGUUUUGGCAUUAAUGGCUAAAUUAAAUAAGCAGAGCUUGACAGGAAAGAAAAUGGAAUAUCUAGCUAGAAUAAUAGAAGAGUUAAAGGUGGUGGUUGCAUUAUAAAAUUAAUGAAAAGAACUUAUCAGAGGAUGAAAAAUUUUGCUGAUGUUUUAAUGUAUGCAAAGUUGGAUAGUAUGAUGCAGCUAAGAGAGCAAAAUACUUCCAAAUGUUAAGAGGCUGUCAAGAAAAGAUCCAAUAAAGUAUCGAUACUUAAGUCCUGCUAAACAUUAAUUCAGAAAACAGACUGCUUCUGGAUGAUUAUUGCGAGUAUACAAUAUUGUACAUACAGGUCAAUCAGUACAAGUGAGAGGUGUUCAAGGUGAUCAUAAAAAUUCUAUACUCAUACCUACAAAAUAUUUUGUAAUAGAUACUUGUAAAAAGUUACA